UGGAAGGGCUGAUGUUAUUUUUUCAUUCCAUCGAAAUUUUUCAACAUGAGUGGUUUAUGAAUAAUUAAAUAUUAUAGAGGCAAAAACUCAAAUCAACCGGGCUUUGUGUUUAUUGUUUUAUUUGCAUUUAUGCAGAUAAAACCGUCCCAUCUGAGAGCCUAUUUGAGAAUUUAAUACUAUAUUUGUGAGCACUGAGGAAAUCAAUUAAUGGAAAUUAAAUGUUCGAAGUUUCACAGUCUGACAGAUGCAAUCUCAGGCUAACGUCACUGGGUGUCUGCACAGGCUUGAGGAGGAGAAAAUCCAAGCCCCUGAAUUGAAUUGCUACCAUAUAGCAAUUAGUUUAUUGAUUUAAUUAAGAAUGCCACCUUUUAAUUUUCAGGUCAUGAUUGUAACAUAUUCUGAUUGAAUAGAUGGAGACAAGGAAAUGAUAAAUCCAUGAGCGAUUCAUUUUUAGGCAACUCAAGGUGAAGAGGCGAGCACAGAGUUGGUGCAUACAGAAAUGGGAACUUAUCACUGAACCCAACCAAAGGAUGAAUGAUAUGUGUAAGUGACAAUAUAGGAUCCUGAGUAUAACAGCAAUUAAUAGCCACUGCCUCAAGACUACUGCAGCUUGGCAUUUAUUAUGCCAGUGCCUAACUGAAGCUUUAUUGGGGCUAAAAACAGUAGAAAGAGGAUUUCGAACUGCUGUUUCAUUCCCCAAAUGUCUACAAGUGCCUACAAGAUCUAGAACCCCCUCUGGGUUUCCAUGGACGAAUGGCAGAGACCAAGGAAGAAGAACAUCCACCGCUACCCCUAGAAUAAAUGUCAGCAGGAACUCCUGCUGG